rnacentral:rRNA from 1 species
AUGGGACAUUUGUACAAUCCACAUAUGAAGAUAAGGAAGAAAGAGAUGUUUAUUUGCUGUCCAAAAAGUUCUCUCACGUCACUUUUGGCCCAAGAGAAGAUAGAGUCCAAGUCUCUCACGUUCUGGAUUCAGAUUCGGACUGCACAGACACACCUGACUCAAAACGCACACAAGUUUUUCAUACAGACUCCGAAUUGGGUGAUUCUUUUUUCGUUGGAAACUAGAUUUCGUGCACUUUCCAACCCAAUUGGAAUCAUCUUCAAAUUCAUCCGGAGCGUUGAGUUGUGGACGAAACAAUCUGAUGCUGCAGCAGAAUCCGAGUCAAACUACAAGUCCAAAGGUGUUACAUCACCUCCACCUGGGCCCAUUGGCCUUGUACGACCUAGAUUUAGUUUUAGGCUGCCUUGGGACGUCCUCCCACCUCCUUGGCCCCCACCCCUUGCUCCUAUAUAA